rnacentral:rRNA from 1 species
AGCGUACACGGUGGAUGCCCUGGCAGUCAGAGGCGAUGAAGGACGUGCUAAUCUGCGAUAAGCGUCGGUAAGGUGAUAUGAACCGUUAUAACCGGCGAUUUCCGAAUGGGGAAACCCAGUGUGUUUCGACACACUAUCAUUAACUGAAUCCAUAGGUUAAUGAGGCGAACCGGGGGAACUGAAACAUCUAAGUACCCCGAGGAAAAGAAAUCAACCGAGAUUCCCCCAGUAGCGGCGAGCGAACGGGGAGCAGCCCAGAGCCUGAAUCAGUGUGUGUGUUAGUGGAAGCGUCUGGAAAGGCGCGCGAUACAGGGUGACAGCCCCGUACACAAAAAUGCACAUGCUGUGAGCUCGAUGAGUAGGGCGGGACACGUGGUAUCCUGUCUGAAUAUGGGGGGACCAUCCUCCAAGGCUAAAUACUCCUGACUGACCGAUAGUGAACCAGUACCGUGAGGGAAAGGCGAAAAGAACCCCGGCGAGGGGAGUGAAAAAGAACCUGAAACCGUGUACGUACAAGCAGUGGGAGCCUCUUUUAUGGGGUGACUGCGUACCUUUUGUAUAAUGGGUCAGCGACUUAUAUUCUGUAGCAAGGUUAACCGAAUAGGGGAGCCGAAGGGAAACCGAGUCUUAACUGGGCGUUAAGUUGCAGGGUAUAGACCCGAAACCCGGUGAUCUAGCCAUGGGCAGGUUGAAGGUUGGGUAACACUAACUGGAGGACCGAACCGACUAAUGUUGAAAAAUUAGCGGAUGACUUGUGGCUGGGGGUGAAAGGCCAAUCAAACCGGGAGAUAGCUGGUUCUCCCCGAAAGCUAUUUAGGUAGCGCCUCGUGAAUUCAUCUCCGGGGGUAGAGCACUGUUUCGGCAAGGGGGUCAUCCCGACUUACCAACCCGAUGCAAACUGCGAAUACCGGAGAAUGUUAUCACGGGAGACACACGGCGGGUGCUAACGUCCGUCGUGAAGAGGGAAACAACCCAGACCGCCAGCUAAGGUCCCAAAGUCAUGGUUAAGUGGGAAACGAUGUGGGAAGGCCCAGACAGCCAGGAUGUUGGCUUAGAAGCAGCCAUCAUUUAAAGAAAGCGUAAUAGCUCACUGGUCGAGUCGGCCUGCGCGGAAGAUGUAACGGGGCUAAACCAUGCACCGAAGCUGCGGCAGCGACACUAUGUGUUGUUGGGUAGGGGAGCGUUCUGUAAGCCUGUGAAGGUGUGCUGUGAGGCAUGCUGGAGGUAUCAGAAGUGCGAAUGCUGACAUAAGUAACGAUAAAGCGGGUGAAAAGCCCGCUCGCCGGAAGACCAAGGGUUCCUGUCCAACGUUAAUCGGGGCAGGGUGAGUCGACCCCUAAGGCGAGGCCGAAAGGCGUAGUCGAUGGGAAACAGGUUAAUAUUCCUGUACUUGGUGUUACUGCGAAGGGGGGACGGAGAAGGCUAUGUUGGCCGGGCGACGGUUGUCCCGGUUUAAGCGUGUAGGCUGGUUUUCCAGGCAAAUCCGGAAAAUCAAGGCUGAGGCGUGAUGACGAGGCACUACGGUGCUGAAGCAACAAAUGCCCUGCUUCCAGGAAAAGCCUCUAAGCAUCAGGUAACAUCAAAUCGUACCCCAAACCGACACAGGUGGUCAGGUAGAGAAUACCAAGGCGCUUGAGAGAACUCGGGUGAAGGAACUAGGCAAAAUGGUGCCGUAACUUCGGGAGAAGGCACGCUGAUAUGUAGGUGAAGUCCCUCGCGGAUGGAGCUGAAAUCAGUCGAAGAUACCAGCUGGCUGCAACUGUUUAUUAAAAACACAGCACUGUGCAAACACGAAAGUGGACGUAUACGGUGUGACGCCUGCCCGGUGCCGGAAGGUUAAUUGAUGGGGUCAGCGCAAGCGAAGCUCUUGAUCGAAGCCCCGGUAAACGGCGGCCGUAACUAUAACGGUCCUAAGGUAGCGAAAUUCCUUGUCGGGUAAGUUCCGACCUGCACGAAUGGCGUAAUGAUGGCCAGGCUGUCUCCACCCGAGACUCAGUGAAAUUGAACUCGCUGUGAAGAUGCAGUGUACCCGCGGCAAGACGGAAAGACCCCGUGAACCUUUACUAUAGCUUGACACUGAACAUUGAGCCUUGAUGUGUAGGAUAGGUGGGAGGCUUUGAAGUGUGGACGCCAGUCUGCAUGGAGCCGACCUUGAAAUACCACCCUUUAAUGUUUGAUGUUCUAACGUGGACCCGUGAUCCGGGUUGCGGACAGUGUCUGGUGGGUAGUUUGACUGGGGCGGUCUCCUCCUAAAGAGUAACGGAGGAGCACGAAGGUUGGCUAAUCCUGGUCGGACAUCAGGAGGUUAGUGCAAUGGCAUAAGCCAGCUUGACUGCGAGCGUGACGGCGCGAGCAGGUGCGAAAGCAGGUCAUAGUGAUCCGGUGGUUCUGAAUGGAAGGGCCAUCGCUCAACGGAUAAAAGGUACUCCGGGGAUAACAGGCUGAUACCGCCCAAGAGUUCAUAUCGACGGCGGUGUUUGGCACCUCGAUGUCGGCUCAUCACAUCCUGGGGCUGAAGUAGGUCCCAAGGGUAUGGCUGUUCGCCAUUUAAAGUGGUACGCGAGCUGGGUUUAGAACGUCGUGAGACAGUUCGGUCCCUAUCUGCCGUGGGCGCUGGAGAACUGAGGGGGGCUGCUCCUAGUACGAGAGGACCGGAGUGGACGCAUCACUGGUGUUCGGGUUGUCAUGCCAAUGGCACUGCCCGGUAGCUAAAUGCGGAAGAGAUAAGUGCUGAAAGCAUCUAAGCACGAAACUUGCCCCGAGAUGAGUUCU